ACAAUCCUGUUGAUAUUUUUACUGAAAUCAUAUUACAUUUAGAAACUAAUUUAGGGAGAAUCAUCAUAGUGGGAGUCCUAAUGGCUUUGGGUUGAGAUAGCAAAUGUGAGUUCUUUUCUCUGUUUCCCUCAGUUGGGAAAACAGGCUCUGAGUUCAGGACGCAUUCCCUGUCAGUGAGACAGUCCAUUGGGAUGAAAUGAAUGUAGGUUUCUUUCUUUCCUGUCUCUGCUCCAUCCCCAUUUAGACAUCAACCUCAAGUCUGUUCUCUCAGGAAAGUAGGGGGAUUUUUCAAAGUCAGCGGGAUCCUAGCUCAGAGGAGGACUUCUCUCUGCCCAAGGAGAGUCCAGGCUUUAUAGUGAUUGUAUUCAUUUGAUUUUAAUCUGGAUGGUAGGGGCCAGGGACCGUCUGUGACUUGUUUAAGCAUUAGGUGUUAGUAAUUCCUUCUUCCCAUGGGGCAGCAGGCUCAGGGAUGCGGGUGCGUUGAUAAUCGGCUCAGGGAAGGCUUGCUGAAUUGCGAGUGACCCAGACCUGGGUUCAAGUCCCAGCUCAGCCGAAACCGGUUUGGCUCAAUGGAUAGAGCAUCGGCUUGGGGACUGAA